GCUUACGACCAUACCCCGUUGAGAACACGACAUCCCGUCCGAUCUGUCAAGUUAAGCAACGGUGGGCCCAGUUAGUACUUGGAUCGGAGGAAUCCACCACAG
rnacentral:rRNA from 1 species